AACGAACGCUGGCGGCAUGCCUAACACAUGCAAGUCGAGCGCCUGUAGCAAUACAGGAGCGGCGCACGGGUGAGUAACGCGUGGGAACCUGCCCUUAGGUUCGGAACAACCGCGGGAAACUGCGGCUGAUACCGGAUGAUGUCUUCGGACCAAAGAUUUAUCGCCUUUGGAGGGGCCCGCGUCGGAUUAGGUAGUUGGUGAGGUAACGGCUCACCAAGCCUGCGAUCCGUAGCUGGUCUGAGAGGAUGACCAGCCACACUGGGACUGAGACACGGCCCAGACUCCUACGGGAGGCAGCAGUGGGGAGUAUUGGACAAUGGAGGAAACUCUGACGCAGCGACGCCGCGUGAGUGACGAAGGACUUCGGUUCGUAAAGCUCUGUUGCAAGGGAAAAAGAAAGUGAUUGUACCUUGUGAGGAAGGGUCGGCUAACUUCGUGCCAGCCGCCGCGGUAA
rnacentral:rRNA from 1 species